rnacentral:rRNA from 1 species
UACAGAGGUCUCAAGCGUUGUUCGGAUUCAUUGGGCGUAAAGGGUAGGUAGGUGGUCUCAUUUGUCUAGGGUGAAAGCCUUGAGCUUAACUCAAGAAGUGCCCUAGAAACGGUGAGACUGGAGUCUUGGAGAGGGUCGUGGAAUUCCCGGUGUAGCGGUGAAAUGCGUAGAGAUCGGGAGGAACACCAGAGGCGAAGGCGGCGACCUGGACAAGCACUGACACUCAACUACGAAAGCGUGGGGAGCAAACAGG